rnacentral:rRNA from 1 species
GAUGAACGCUAGCGGCAGGCUUAACACAUGCAAGUCGAGGGGCAGCGCGGGGUAGCAAUACUUCCGGCGGCGACCGGCGCACUGGUGAGUAACACGUAUGCAACCUGCCCCGGGCAGGGGGAUAAUCCGGAGAAAUCUGGUCUAAUACCCCGUAGGCCUCCGUCCCGCAUGGAAUGGAGGUGAAAGGAGCGAUCCGGCACGGGAUGGGCAUGCGGCGCAUUAGCUAGUCGGCGGGGCGACGGCCCACCGAGGCGACGAUGCGUAGGGGUUCUGAGAGGAAGGUCCCCCACACUGGUACUGAGACACGGACCAGACUCCUACGGGAGGCAGCAGUGAGGAAUAUUGGGUCAUGGACGGAGGUCUGAACCCAGCCAGUCGCGUGAGGGAAGACGGCCCUACGGGUUGUAAACCUCUUUUGCGGGGGAAGCAAGUGCGCCACGGGUGGCGCAUUGCGAGUACCCCGAGAAAAGCAUCGGCUAAUUCCGUGCCAGCAGCCGCGGUAAUACGGAAGAUGCGAGCGUUAUCGGGAUNAUGGGG